AUUGAACGCUGGCGGCAUGCCUUACACAUGCAAGUCGAACGGCAGCACGGGAGCAAUCCUGGUGGCGAGUGGCGAACGGGUGAGUAAUAUAUCGGAACGUGCCCGGUCGUGGGGAUAACGUAGCGAAAGCUACGCUAAUACCGCAUACGAUCUACGGAUGAAAGCGGGGGAUCGCAAGACCUCGCGCGAUUGGAGCGGCCGAUAUCAGAUUAGGUAGUUGGUGGGGUAAAGGCCUACCAAGGCUUCGAUCAGUAGCUGGUCUGAGAGGACGACCAGCCACACUGGAACUGAGACACGGUCCAGACUCCUACGGGAGGCAGCAGUGGGGGAAUUUUGGACAAUGGGCGAAAGCCUGAUCCAGCAAUGCCGCGUGAGUGAAGAAGGCCUUCGGGUUGUAAGACUCUUUGUCUAGGGAAGAAACGGUAGGACUCGUAAUACAGAUCACUAAUG
rnacentral:rRNA from 1 species